GGGGGAUUAGCUCAGCUGGUAGAGCGCUUGCAUGGCAUGCAAGAGGUCAUCGGUUCGAUCCCGUUAUCCUCCACCA
rnacentral:tRNA from 1 species